rnacentral:lncRNA from 1 species
GGAAAGAGAGUGAGUGACUUAACAGUGAGAAAGGCUCAAAUGGACAAAAGCUAUGAAGGGGGAUGGGGCUGGGGCAGAUUGCCAAGUCCAUGCAGGGACUGGUUAGGGUUUCUAAAAGCCUUUUUGUCAAUUUGCAUUUGGCAUUUUCUUGUCAGAUUUUGGACUUGAUGACACAUAAAUAAAAUAUUUAAACCGCUACAACCAAUGCCAAUUUGGUAACCAAAGAGAUUGUAAUUGGACCCACAUCCAAUGGUGGGACCAAGCAAAUGGGAUCUCUCCACUCCAGCAUAAAGACCGAAUUUUUUACCGCCUUGAUUGGGUAAAAAAUAUGACGUAAAAAGUUGAAUUGAAUAAAGGGGUUUGCGUAUAGUCACUGACAGAGUUGUUGGGUGCAUUAAAUUCUUUGGAUCUCUCUAUCUCUCUGCCUGUCUGUGUCUCUCUCUCGGACCUCAAAACCCAAAAAGGGUCCUUUAGUAUAUAUGCUCUCACUCACGCAUUCCAAGCCCCCACCUAUUUCCAAUUACGUUGACCAUACAGAUGCUUACAGCCGUUGAUGUAUUGUUUUGAUAGAUGAUGAAAGGAACGGUCCAAAAAGAUACACGUUGGCUUCUACAUCAUACAAACUGUACUGGAUAAUUGAUUGCUAGUGUUCAGCUCUUGUUCCUUUCCACGACGGGACCAUCUGGUAAUUGGCAUGCAGAAAGAGAGAAUCAAAAUUUACUCAUCUCAAGAGGUAACAUAUUUUAUUGGAAAUAAAUAAUAGCCUUAAUUGUAGAAAUACCCCUACCCUAAAUUAUGUUUUGUUUGACUUACUAAGAACGGUGAUUCAAUCACAUGACCUCAAAUCAUGGUCCGUAUUGUCUUAUAAAAAAGAGAAAUUCAAAUACAGAAUCUCGAUUGUAAAGAUAAUUACUGUUAAACAUUCAAGUUACAAAUCUCUUUCAAACCGUGAAUUAGUUCUUAUUUUAGUGGGUUAUAAGUCAAAAUCCAACCAACUGUUUACUUACUUGUGCGCAAAAUAUAAUAAGAUAAGAAGAGAAUGCGGAUGGUAGUAUAAGAGAACAAGAAAAUAAAACACAUGGAAUAAUACAAAAAAUUUUGUUUAUAAUAAGACUAGUUGGGUUUGCCCUUUGUUUGUUUAUUUGUUUUUUAUGAGAAGCUCAUGUCAAAGAUGAAGGCGAUAGGAUUAUAGACCCGUGACCAUCCUCUUUUGAUCUUUUCCUUUUCCUUUUUAGUUGUUUAUAGACAUGUGAUUGGUAAAGCCCGUGACAUAGCCCUCCUCCUAGUGUUGGUGUUGAACUUGGAAGUUGGAACCAAUGGUC